GACGAACCACACAAACGUUAUUCGGAAUUACUGGGCUUAAAGGGUGCGUAGGCGGCGCGGAAAGUAGGGUGUGAAAUCCCUCGGCUCAACCGAGGAAUUGCGCCCUAAACUACCGUGCUCGAGGGAGAUAGAGGUGAGCGGAACUUAGGGUGGAGCGGUGAAAUGCGUUGAUAUCCUAAGGAACACCGGUGGCGAAAGCGGCUCACUGGAUCUCUUCUGACGCUGAGGCACGAAAGCGUGGGGAGCAAACAGG
rnacentral:rRNA from 1 species